AUUGAACGCUGGCGGCAGGCCUAACACAUGCAAGUCGAGCGGAUGAAGGGAGCUUGCUCCUGUAUUCAGCGGCGGACGGGUGAGUAAUGCCUAGGAAUCUGCCUGGUAGUGGGGGAUAACGUCCGGAAACGGGCGCUAAUACCGCAUACGUCCUGAGGGAGAAAGUGGGGGAUCUUCGGACCUCACGCUAUCAGAUGAGCCUAGGUCGGAUUAGCUAGUUGGUGGGGUAAAGGCCUACCAAGGCGACGAUCCGUAACUGGUCUGAGAGGAUGAUCAGUCACACUGGAACUGAGACACGGUCCAGACUCCUACGGGAGGCAGCAGUGGGGAAUAUUGGACAAUGGGCGAAAGCCUGAUCCAGCCAUGCCGCGUGUGUGAAGAAGGUCUUCGGAUUGUAAAGCACUUUAAGUUGGGAGGAAGGGCAGUAAGUUAAUACCUUGCUGUUUUGACGUUACCAACAGAAUAAGCACCGGCCAACUUCGUG
rnacentral:rRNA from 1 species